GCUCCCUUAGCUCAGCUGGAUAGAGCAACUGCCUUCUAAGCAGUCGGUCGAUGGUUCGAAUCCAUCAGGGGGCGCUA
rnacentral:tRNA from 1 species